rnacentral:rRNA from 1 species
UACGUAGGGUGCGAGCGCUGUCCGGAAUUACUGGGCGUAAAGAGCUCGUAGGUGGUUUGUCGCGUUGUUCGUGAAAUCUCACGGCUUAACUGUGAGCGUGCGGGCGAUACGGGCAGACUAGAGUACUGCAGGGGAGACUGGAAUUCCUGGUGUAGCGGUGGAAUGCGCAGAUAUCAGGAGGAACACCGGUGGCGAAGGCGGGUCUCUGGGCAGUAACUGACGCUGAGGAGCGAAAGCGUGGGGAGCGAACAGG